GACGAACGCUGGCGGCGUGCUUAACACAUGCAAGUCGAGCGGUAAGGCCCUUUCGGGGUACACGAGCGGCGAACGGGUGAGUAACACGUGGGUGACCUGCCCUCAGCUCUGGGAUAAGCCUGGGAAACUGGGUCUAAUACUGGAUAUGACUCCACGGUGCAUGUCGUGGGGUGGAAAGCCUUGUGCGGCUGAGGAUGGGCCCGCGGCCUAUCAGCUUGUUGGGGGGUGAUGGCCUACCAAGGCGACGACGGGUAGCCGGCCUGAGAGGGCGACCGGCCACACUGGGACUGAGACACGGCCAGACUCCUACGGGAGGCAGCAGUGGGGAAUCUUGCGCAAUGGGCGAAAGCCUGACGCAGCGACGCCGCGUGAGGGAUGACGGCCU
rnacentral:rRNA from 1 species